GACGAACGCUGGCGGCGUGCUUAACACAUGCAAGUCGAGCGACGCUCUUCCUUCGGGGAGAUGACGGAGCGGCGAACGGGUGAGUAACACGUGGGCAACCUGCCCCUAGCUCUGGGACAACACCGGGAAACCGGUGCUAAUACCGGAUACGACAUCGAGCGGCAUCUCUCGAUGUGGAAAGUUUUUUCGGCUAGGGAUGGGCCCGCGGCCUAUCAGCUUGUUGGUGGGGUAAUGGCCCACCAAGGCGACGACGGGUAGCCGGCCUGAGAGGGCGACCGGCCACACUGGGACUGAGACACGGCCCAGACUCCUACGGGAGGCAGCAGUGGGGAAUAUUGCGCAAUGGGCGAAAGCCGGACGCAGCGACGCCGCGUGAGGGAUGACGGCCUUCGGGUUGUAAACCUCUUUCAGCAGGGACGAAUUCAGACGGUACCUGCAGAAGAAGCACCGGCCAACUACGUG
rnacentral:rRNA from 1 species